UACGGAGGGGGCUAGCGUUGUUCGGAAUUACUGGGCGUAAAGCGCACGUAGGCGGCGAUCUAAGUCGGAUGUGAAAUCCCUCGGCUCAACCGAGGACGUGCAUCCGAAACUGGAUUGCUCGAGUAUGGAAGAGGGUCGCGGAAUUCUCGGUGUAGAGGUGAAAUUCGUAGAUAUCGGGAGGAACACCAGUGGCGAAGGCGGCGACCUGGGCCAAUACUGACGCUGAGGUGCGAAAGCGUGGGGAGCAAACAGG
rnacentral:rRNA from 1 species